rnacentral:rRNA from 1 species
CCUACGGGUGGCAGCAGUGGGGAAUUUUGGACAAUGGGGGAAACCCUGAUCCAGCAAUGCCGCGUGUGCGAAGAAGGCCUUCGGGUUGUAAAGCACUUUUUAGAGAGUUGCGGUACCUGAAGAAUAAGCACCGGCUAACUACGUGCCAGCAGCCGCGGUAAUACGUAGGGUGCAAGCGUUAAUCGGAAUUACUGGGCGUAAAGCGUGCGCAGGCGGUUCUAUAAGACAGGUGUGAAAUCCCCGAGCUCAACUUGGGAAUUGCAUUUGUGACUGUAGGACUAGAGUGUGUCAGAGGGGGGUGGAAUUCCACGUGUAGCAGUGAAAUGCGUAGAUAUGUGGAGGAACACCAAUGGCGAAGGCAGCCCCCUGGAUACACUGACGCUCAUGCACGAAAGCGUGGGGAGCAAACAGGAUUAGAUACCCUUGUAGUC